GAUGAACGCUAGCGGCAGGCCUAACACAUGCAAGUCGAGGGAGAAGCCCUUUCGGGGGCAGAAACCGGCGCACGGGUGCGUAACGCGUAUGCAACCUACCUUUCACAGGGGGAUAGCCCGAAGAAAUUUGGAUUAAUACCCCAUAAUAUUAUUGGAUGGCAUCAUUUGAUAAUUAAAACUGCGGUGGUGAAAGAUGGGCAUGCGUCCUAUUAGCUAGUUGGAGUGGUAACGGCACCCCAAGGCUACGAUAGGUAGGGGUCCUGAGAGGGAGAUCCCCCACACUGGUACUGAGACAGGGACCAGACUACUACGGGAGGCAGCAGUGAGGAAUAUUGGGCAAUGGUCGGAAGACUGAACCAGCCAUGCCGCGUGCAGGAAGAAUGCCUUAUGGGUUGUAAACUGCUUUUAUAUGGGAAGAAUAAGGUGUACGUGUACAUUGAUGACGGUACCAUAUGAAUAAGCAUCGGCUAACUCCGUG
rnacentral:rRNA from 1 species